rnacentral:rRNA from 1 species
GUAGGUGGCAAGCGUUGUCCGGAAUUAUUGGGCGUAAAGCGCGCGCAGGCGGUUCUUUAAGUCUGAUGUGAAACGCCCACGGCUCAACCGUGGAGGGUCAUUGGAAACUGGAGAACUUGAGUACAGAAGAGGAAAGCGGAAUUCCACGUGUAGCGGUGAAAUGCGUAGAGAUGUGGAGGAACACCAGUGGCGAAGGCGGCUUUCUGGUCUGUAACUGACGCUGAGGCGCGAAAGCGUGGGGAGCAAACAGGAUUAGAUACCCUGGUAGUCCACGCCGUAAACGAUGAGUGCUAAGUGUUAGGGGGUUUCGCCCCCCUUAGUGCUGCAGCUAACGCAUUAAGCACUCCGCCCUGGGAUACGGCCGCAAGGCUG